rnacentral:rRNA from 1 species
GAUGAACGCUGGCGAUAGGCCUAACACAUGCAAGUCGAGGGGCAGCAUGGUCUUAGCUUGCUAAGGCUGAUGGCGACCGGCGUAAGGGUGCGUAACGCGUAUGUAACUUGCCUUUGAGAGGGGGAUAACCCGGAGAAAUCCGGCCUAAUACCGCGUAUUCUCAAGUUGCUGCAUGGCAGUUUGAGGAAAGAUUUAUUGCUCAGAGAUAGGCAUGCGUUCCAUUAAGUAGUUGGUGAGGUAACGGCUCACCAAGCCGGCGAUGGAUAGGGGAGCUGAGAGGCUGACCCCCCACGCUGGGACUGAGACACGGCCCAG